CUCCUUCCUGCCACCAUGUGAAUAAGGACAUGUUUGCUUCUCCUUCUGCCAUGGUUUUCCUCUAUAUUUUCACCAGUAACUAAAAGCAUAGUGUCCAGAAUGAAUCUAAGUAGAAGAAGGGAAAAACAGAAGGACACAAAAAGGGAGACAAGGAAAAAUGUCGAUGUCGAAGAACUAGAGGAACAACACUGGAGUUAUAGGAAACACCCAGAAUUAGAAUCAGAGCAAUUUGAUUGGAUUUACAACAGCUGAUUCUAGAUAUAAGAACUUUACCAAGCCAUUUACAAUUUUUGUGCCUAAAUUUCAUCACUUUAAAACAGAAAGAAUUUACCUUAUACACUUGUUGCUUAGAUUAUGAAAGUCAUCUAUACAAAAUGUACAAUAAGGAAGAAUAUAAAUGUAAGAAUGUAGAGGGUCACAAACAUAGUUUGAAAUAUUCAAACUUUUCAUUUUGGAGUGAAAAAAAAGAAAAAUACUAACUGUAAAAUUAAAUUCAU